CCGUGAGUGUCAUUGUCAUGUUAUAUUUUAUUCACCAUUCAUCAGCAUCAGUAAUUUCAGAAUUUGUGAGUUACAACAUAAAAGAAAGAAUAGUAAAUAGUGUUUAUGAUUAUUUGUGAAAUUACGGAGUGAUUUGCCCAUAAUAAUGUUGCGUUACUCACUAAUAUUGUUAUUAGUUAAUGUUUACGGUCGUAGUUUGGGAGUACCUGUAAAGCAAAACAGUAACGGUAAAACAUUGAUAAGUAACCUGCUGAAUGAUCUCAGCAAAGAAUGCAAGAACGAAUUCUUAAUAAGCCAAAUUGAGAGCAAAAACUUCCACUUGCGAUGUGGAAAUUAACUAUCAUAUUCAUGAUUUGCAAUGCUUGAUGUUUUACGAUGCUAAUCGUCUCCUGUGUAACAACGUUACUGCACCUAAUACAGCCAACUUCGCAACUGAUUUUAAGGCGAAAAUAAAUGAAAAACAAAACGUUUCUGCUUUCUGCAGUGAAGCUCUGCAUUUCACCGUUCCUUCAACAUCUUACUUACGCAUGCUUAAUCUAGUGUUCCAACAUGCUGAUGGCUGCAAAAGAGUUUGCACAGAUGACGACAUAAGUACUGGCGAUACUAACUUCUUUUGCAAAUAUUACAAAUGGUCAUUGUCACAGCUCCAAGUACCACAGAGUUCUAUUCAGGGUUCUGUACCUGUUUCUGCUGGUUCAGGAUCUCCAGGUGAUUUACACAACAAUAAUGCAACAACAACUCAGAUAGUUCAGAAAUCAGAUGUACAGGUCAAAAAGACUUCGGAUACUGUUAAUACUAAUACACAGUUGGUAAAAGUUGAGGAACCAAGUCAACACACAUCAGAAGUGGCUAAGCAAGAGUCAUCUUCGCCUACACAGUUGUCUGGUUCACAAAACCCAGACAUUCCCAGUUUGCCAAGUAAUGUGGAUAAUAAUAAGAAGAGCACUUUAAAACCAGAUGUGAAACAAGACACUGCGGACAAGGUUGGCGAUGCAGAACCUGGUGACACAGCACUGGACCCAAACGAUGCUGGUAAUGAGGCUGGCAUUGAAAACAAUGCUGGGAAUAUUAAGGAUCCAGAUGCAAUGCAACAAUUGGAGACCCCUAACCAUAAGAUAGUUUUGGAUAAUGAAGAUACUGAUGAUACGGGAAUGGAUAUGGAUGAUGAGGGAAAAGACGCCAGUGAUGACGGAGAUGACCCGAUUGUUGGUGAUUUGGAUGUGAAACAAGAACCGGAAGCUAGCUCACAUAAGAGAGUAGAGUCCCAGGUGCCAUUGAACGGGGAUGUGGCCCAGAGAGAUUUUUUCCAGAAUGCUGAUGGGUUCACAGAAGAUGACGACCAUUUCUUCCCCUUCUUCUUAACAGCCGUGAUAGUUGUUGUUGUGUUGUAUGUCUUAUACCACAAUAAGAACAAAGUCGGAAAAAUGUUCUUCGGUCUAAUAGUGGAAGGUCGGCAGCCGGGCCGCCGCCGCAACAGCCGCGGGCACGCCUACCGCCGCCUCGACACCCUCGAGCAAGCGAUGAGCGCCAACACCCCGGCGCCGCCCAGCAAGAUCAUAUACUGAACCCACUAGUCUUACUCGCGUGAGUAUACCACUCGUAAAUAAGGUCAGAGGUAACGAUACUCGAUUGGAUCCCUGUGUGCGUAGCCGAAUGCACAAACGCUCACGAAACGCUACGGGGCCUGUCCCCAUUGUACCUAUUGUUAAAAUUUUAAGUUGUAAUGUGUUGUUUGUUUGUCCGCAAUCCCGUUAUAGAAAAGAGUUACAGAAUUAUGACUAAUGAUAAUCUGACAGUCAUUACAUUAUAACUUUCAACAAUUAUGUCAAGUGAUAGGGAUCCGUUGUCGAUUUUGGCGUCUGCAACGGAUGCUAUUGUAGGUAAAAUCAAACCUAGUCAGUCAGUUUUCAUUUCGUUGCGGACGCACUUUGUGCGCUAGACCUUUAGAACUCACGCUAUGAGUCGUUUUGUAAGUGUGCUGUGCACCGCAUUUUGUUUGGCUAUAUGAAGACAACCUUUGCAGAGUAAACUCGGUAAGUAGGCGUUUCGUAGAAGAUUUGAGCAGUGCUUAAAGUGAAAGUAUCGAUUACAUCUGAGUGACUAUGCCUAUGAAUGGUUGUGGCUUACAUCAUUCUCGAAGUGUUUUAUUCACACGUAUGUAUUGGUAUAUUGCGCUCUUGCGCUAAACAUCGAAGUAUAUUUUGGUGUAAUCUUAUUUUACUAAUUUUCGGGAAUAGUGAUGCAAAUAAAAGAAUACGACUAUAACAUUGCGCUUGAAAGGAAUGCUUCAAAAUGUCGAUAUGAUCAGUAGCGGCAUUUGGCGCCACAGUCAUCAUUUCGAAUAAGUCAUUAUUUAGGUAUUUAUUACAUAUGGCAACUUUGUUUGUUAAUAUUUUCUUAAGUAUUAUUUGUGUUUUGAGUACUAUAGAAGUAUAAUAAAAUAAUCAAGUGUUAAAAUUUUACAAUUUCAUAGAAACCUCUAAAUUGUAGUAGCGUAUACUAUCUUCAAAAGUAAUAAUCCAUGAAGUACAAUAUGUAACAUAGGUAUGCCUUCAUAUUUAAUGCUUUCAUUACGUUGAAACUGUGAUGAAUUUUUGUAUUUUUUUUUAGAUUUGUUAUAGUAUAGUUAAAAGUAUGUUGGUAGGUAUGUAGUAACAUGUAGGUAUAUACCCUUCACCAUGUCAGAACUAAACUGAUGUCUCGUUCAUGUUCGAGAUCAUGUAACAAGUAUAUUUUUGGAUCUCAAUCCGUUCAAGUGGCUGGCCG
rnacentral:misc_RNA from 1 species